rnacentral:rRNA from 1 species
UAGUCAAUGCUCGCAAGAGUGAACUAGCUAACUGAAAUCAUAUAUGUGUCAUAUGUGAUAAAGUAAGGGAAAAUAAUGAUAUUACCUUAUUAUUAGUGUUGUCCAAAACUGGUGCCAGAAGACUCGGUAAGGCCAGAGACGCAAACGUUAGUCGUCCUAAUCAGGCGUAAAGGGUUUGUAGGCUGCUUUAAAAGUCUUAUUUUUAAUAUAGCUAAAAUAAAGAUAAGAUCAAUUAAAGCUAGAAUCAAAUAGAGGGUAAACCAAAUAAUACUUAGAGUAGGGCCGAUAUCCAUAAAUACUAGGUGGAAUACUAAAGGUGAAAGCUUUUUAUCUACUAAUGAUUGACGCUGAGAAACGAAGGUGAGGAAAGGAAACAGGAUUAGAUACCCACAUACCCCUCUCUGUCAACGAUGAAUGGUGGCUUGCUAAUUGAAUAAAACAUUAAAAAGUUUAAUGUAAUUAUAAUAAAAAAUUGGUAGCGAUGUUAACACGAUAACCAUUCCGCCUUGUGAGUACGACUGCAAAGUGAAAACAA